rnacentral:rRNA from 1 species
ACUCUCGGCAACGGAUAUCUCGGCUCUCGCAUCGAUGAAGAACGUAGCGAACUGCGAUACUUGGUGUGAAUUGCAGAAUCCCGUGAACCAUCGAGUCUUUGAACGCAAGUUGCGCCCGAAGCCAUCAGGCCGAGGGCACGUCUGCCUGGGCGUCACGC